rnacentral:lncRNA from 1 species
UCCAAAUCAAGAAGAAGGAGGUGCCUGAUCAACCAUCAAAGAAGGAUCAGCGCAGUACUAGCAUACUGUGCUGAUUUCCUGAAGCAGAACUUCUGAUCGAGAUUCGUGAGCUCGUGUGGACGACUCCUAGAGGCCAGACGUGUGUGCGGCUUGCAACAUCAUCCUUAAGCCCGGAUCAGCGAGGUUAGAGCGUCUAACUUGCAAGGUAAUAGAUCUGAUCUAUUAUUUAAUACAUACAUUAGAUGUAGCUAGUAUAGAAACAUGUUGAUAUGAUCAACAUGUAGUUCAU